GACGAACGCUGGCGGCGUGCUUAACACAUGCAAGUCGAACGGACAGGCCCUGCGUUUGCGGGGUGCUCGUGUGGCGAACGGGUGAGUAACACGUGAGUAACCUGUCCUUGACUUUCGGAUAACUUCAGGAAACUGCGGCUAAUACCGGGUAGGAGCUCCUGCUGCAUGGUGGGGGUUGGAAAGAUUCGGCGGUUGGGGAUGGACUGGCGGCUUAUGAGCUUGAUGGUGGGGUAGUGACAUACAAAGGCUUUGACGGCUAGCCGGCCUUAGAGGGGGACCGGGCUCCAUGCGCCUGCGAUAGGGCCCAGUAUGCAACGGGAGGCAGCAGUCGAGAGUAUUGCACAAUGGGCGGGAGCCUGAUACAGCAACCCCGGGUGCGGGAUGACGGCUUUCGGGUUAAGAACAUCUUUCGCCUGUGCCGAAGCGUGAGUGACGGUAAUGAGUAAAGAAGCACCGGCUAACUACGUG
rnacentral:rRNA from 1 species